GUGGAUAUAGCUUAGUUGGUUAAAGCGCCAGAUUGUGGCUCUGGAGACCGUGGGUUCGAAUCCCAUUAUUCACCCCA
rnacentral:tRNA from 1 species